ensembl:lncRNA
UAUGAGGCAGUGAGCUGACCAAUCAGCUGCUAGCUAGGCUCCGUUACAGUUAUGCCUCUAGUUUUGCGUCCUGCACGUUCUUUUGGCGCUUGCACUCGAGCAUAGGAGGCUGCGUUAUCCACUUGCUAAGACAAAAAAACAACAUUGAGUGACUUUAAACCAGUUCUGUAAUCAUUAUUGCUUAUACUGACUAUACUGUGUUGUAAUAUAGAGUGUACAAGAGAGCUGUGCCUGAAUCCACUGUUUGUCACGGAGCUAAAGGCAGUGAAUUCCGCUAAAAUGAAGACCACCUCAGCAAAGCAGAUGGGACUAAAGAUCCCCAAGGUGGAGCAGAUAACCUCCACGGCUGAGCAGAUGAAGCUGAGGACCACUUCCGUGGAACUGUUGGUGCAGGGAACCACAAAGGCAGAUCAGGUGGGACUGGAACAAAGAGCACACAAGAAAACAACGUUCUCUGCAGCAUCAUUGACCGUGACCAUGGAGCGGGCUCUGGAGCAGAAUCAAGGACUGGAGUAGGCUCUGAAGCAGACUCAGGGACUAAAGUGGGCUCUGGAGUUGAUUCGUGGACUGGAGCAGGCUUAGGAAUGGGAACAGAGCAAACACACAGAAUGGCAACCGUCAUUACAGGGAGUACUGAGGAAAGGGGAACAGCCUCUGUGACAGCCAGUGCCGAGACUCUUGGGAUUCCAGCUUCUCGCACUGACAUCUGAGGUAGGUCAGCCACACUGCGGGUUUGAAAGAACCCCUACUAUCUGAGGGUUGUCCCCCCUAAAAAUAUGCUUAAAAACCACGCUGUGUAUUGUAAAUAACAAUGUUUUAUACUUUAAAUAAUUGUUUAAGUAGUAAAACAACACAAACGGGGCAAAAAUGCAUUUUAAGUUUAAAACAUUUUGAGUCUCCCCUCCUUUGCCUCACAGUCAUUUGGUCCAAAUGCCUGCUUUCCUCUUUUACAUCAUCUAAUAAUACACACACACAAGUCCGGUGAGAGAGAACAAAGUCAAUAGUUGUGGAACUCCAGUAAGUAAGACCAGUGCCGGCCCUACCUAAUAAGCAAUAUAAGUGGCUGCAUAGGGCCCCGUGGCGGGAGCUCAGAGAGCAAUCACGGGAGUAAGGUGAGAUGAUGGUGGAGAUGGCAACAGCAGAGCUGAGCUGGAGCAUUCUCUGAAGCUGUACUUCCAUAGGAAUUAAUAAAAAAAUGUUUGUGGACA